GACUAAGGAAGCCUUGCACUGGGACUUUCUUUAGCUUUGCGUUUUUCUCUCUACUCCCCCAUGUUUCAGGGUGUGACAGUGGUGCUUCCCUACACAGUGCUCUCCUGUAAAGUAUAUUAUUCUUUCCUGUUCCACUUCUAAUCCACUCUCCAAGUUUUUAAUGUUUCAGGUUUAGUUGCUCAUCGCUGGAUCCUUUUGUCAUUGUCCAUGUGGUUCCUGCCUUCUGGAUCCCUUGUCUUUCAUGCUGCUUGUUGGAUCUCAUCAGCUUGUACACCUCCAUCUUCAACACCACCAGUCCGAUAGAGGAAGAUAAGAGAACCCAGUUGAAAAAAAAUAGCUUUGAUGAGCUUUGUGCUGAUGGAAGGAGGAUCAAGAAUAGAGCAGAGGACCUGCUGAUCUACUGGUUCUAGUAGAUUUUAGAAAUGCAUCAGUGAGACGAGACAACAGCACUGGACCAAUCAGGAGAGACAAGACACAGAGGACUGAAGGGACACAGAAAACCCUGCUGAAAUUCCAUAGAAGAAGAUUCCUGAGGACACAGGGGGACAGCUGAGGAYACAGAAUAAAGAGACAGAUCAUG